rnacentral:rRNA from 1 species
UACGUAGGGAGCAAGCGUUGUUCGGAAUUAUUGGGCGUAAAGCGUGCGUAGGCGGCCCUGUAAGUCCGUUGUGAAAGUCAGAGGCUCAACCUCUGGAGGCCAUUGGAUACUGCCGGGCUAGAGUCCGGAAGAGGCGAGUGGAAUUCCUGGUGUAGCGGUGGAAUGCGCAGAUAUCAGGAGGAACACCAAUGGCGAAGGCAGCUCGCUGGGACGGUACUGACGCUGAGGUGCGAAAGCGUGGGGAGCGAACAGG